rnacentral:rRNA from 1 species
GACCAUAUCACGUUGAAGCACCACUUCCGUACGAUCACCGAAGUUAAGCAACGUUUAGCUUGGUCAGUAACUAAAUGCGUGACCGCCUGGGAAUACCAGGUGCUGUA